rnacentral:rRNA from 1 species
CCUACGGGAGGCAGCAGUGAGGAAUAUUGGUCAAUGGACGAGAGCCUGAACCAGCCAAGUAGCGUGAAGGAUGACUGCCCUAUGGGUUGUAAACUUCUUUUAUCUGGGAAUAAAAUGUUCCACGUGUGGGCUUUUGUAGGUAACAUAUGAAUAAGGAUCGGCUAACUCCGUGCCAGCAGCCGCGGUAAUAAGGAGGAUCCGAGCGUUAUCCGGGUUUAUUGGGUUUAAAGGGAUCGUAGGUGGGUUGUUAAGUCAGUUGUGAAAGUUUGCGGCGAAACCGUAAAAUUGCAGUUGAAACUGGCAGUCUUGAGUACAGUAGAGGUGUGCGGAAUUCGUGGUGUAGCGGUGAAAUGCUUAGAUAUCACGAAGAACUCCGAUUGCGAAGGCAGCUCACGGGACUGCAACUGACACUGAUGCUCGAAAGUGUGGGUAUCAAACAGGAUUAGAUACCCGGGUAGUC